rnacentral:rRNA from 1 species
CCGGCGCACGGGUGAGUAACACGUAUCCAACCUGCCGUCUACUCUUGGCCAGCCUUCUGAAAGGAAGAUUAAUCCAGGAUGGGAUCAUGAGUUCACAUGUCCGCAUGAUUAAAGGUAUUUUCCGGUAGACGAUGGGGAUGCGUUCCAUUAGAUAGUAGGCGGGGUAACGGCCCACCUAGUCAACGAUGGAUAGGGGUUCUGAGAGGAAGGUCCCCCACAUUGGAACUGAGACUCGGUCCAA